UAACCUGCCCUGGAGUGGGGGAUAACCAUUGGAUACGGUGGCUAAUACCGCAUACAGCUAUUGAUUUGGGAGAAUCGAUAGGGAAAGCUCCGGCGCUCUGGGAGGGGUCUGCGUCCGAUUAGCUAGUUGGUGAGGUAAAGGCUCACCAAGGCGACGAUCGGUAGCUGGUCUGAGAGGACGAUCAGCCACACGGGAAUUGAGACACGGUCCCGACUCCUACGGGGGGCAGCAGUGAGGAAUAUUGGGCAAUGGGCGAGAGCCUGACCCAGCAACGCCGCGUGGAGGAAGACGGCCUUCGGGUUGUAAACUCCUUUUGACGGGGAAGAGAGAGGACGGUACCCGUCGAAUAAGUCACGGCUAACUACGUGCCAGCAGCCGCGGUAAUACGUAGGUGACAAGCGUUAUCCGGAAUUACUGGGCGUAAAGCGCACGCAGGCGGCAGAUUAAGUCUGACGUGAAAUCUCCUGGCUUAACUGGGAGGGGUCGGUGGAAACUGGUCAGCUUGAGGUGGUGAGAGGGGUGUAAAAUUCCCGGUGUAGUG
rnacentral:rRNA from 1 species